UACUUUGGGCCUCUAUAGCACUGUUCGUGUUUUUCUUACUUCGAUCGUUUGUUCUUCAGUGGUCGAACCUCAUCUUGCGUCGGUGUUCAACUACUCGAACAACGGGAUUGGACUGUGUUCGAUUCAAGACGACCUCCUAAAUCCGAUCUAUAGUGCGAUUCCUGAAUUCUCGGAUUGGAGCUCUUGGAUCUAAGGGUUGACUUUGGGCUUACUCUUUCACCAAGUCACAAGCUCAUCUCCAACUCUUUGAUAGCCAUUUAUAACGUCCAGAGGUUUUUAAAAGGCUCCCUAGACCUUAAGAACGAAGUGCUAACUAUUAUUCUAAAAGUUUGUAACAGAGGUCUAGGGUGUGGAUCUUAAUACUACCAUGGCAAAAGUCAAACUCAUGACAGUUAAGGAAAUUAGGGUGCUACGCUGAUAGCUUAAGGCAUGAUGUUGAGGACUCCCAGCUGCAAAAGCCUAUCAACUUAUCGUAAACUUCAGGGUUUCAGGAUGAAGUUGCAAGAAUCUUGUCAGCUUUAACGUUGCAGCUGAUAAUAUUUUAUGUGUUUUCAUUGUUUACUUAUUUCAUAUUUUCUUAGAGUUAGUUGUUUUUCAAGUACAAAUGAGAGUUUCCCUUUUGUAUAUGAGGAAAAAUUAAUACUUUGUAUCAUUGAUAGAAUACUUCUAGGAUUCAAGAGAAUGGACUCGUUGUGAAGUCUUUCUUAGCUAAGGUAAAAACAAAUUCUAGCUUAGCUGAUCAAAUUUUGCAUUUUUAAGAA